rnacentral:lncRNA from 1 species
UUGAUAACUUGUUAUUUAACAGCAUAUCUUUAAAAAUUCAAAAUGCAAAUACCUUAUGAAAAACAAUUUAAUUUGAAUCCUGCAUUAAGAGUAGUGAAGAUGACACAGAACGGUCUAUAAGAAGUACCAAAUCAUCAUAACCAGGCACAGUGCCAGAGCCUUUGGCUUCGUAACGUCGCCACUGGCUGACCAGAUUAUGGUAACAAAAAGUACAAACCAACGCAGAACCAUCUUCACGCAACUGCUCCGCAUUUGGUGGACUAACGUGCUUAAGUAAAUAGGGAAAGUAUGGAGCAUUCCUUCCUACAAUAUAGAAUAAAAGUUGCAGUGUAGCCUAGUGGCGGCUCAUGAGACUCCAAAAAGGGAAAAUAUGGCUCUUUAGGUUUAUUUGGAGGUGGUUUCACAUACAGC